CGCGCCUAACACAUGCAAGUCGAACGAGAGAUGAGGAGCUUGCUCUUCAAAUCGAGUGGCGAACGGGUGAGUAACGCGUGAGGAACCUGCCUCAAAGAGGGGGACAACAGUUGGAAACGACUGCUAAUACCGCAUAAGCCCACGGCUCGGCAUCGAGCAGAGGGAAAAGGAGCAAUCCGCUUUGAGAUGGCCUCCCGUCCGAUUAGCUAGUUGGUGAGGGUAACGGGCCCACCAAGGCGACGAUCGGUAGCCGGACUGAGAGGUUGAACGGCCACAUUGGGACUGAGACACGGCCCAGACUCCUACGGGAGGCAGCAGUGGGGAAUAUUGCACAAUGGGGGAAACCCUGAUGCAGCGACGCCGCGUGGAGGAAGAAGGUCUUCGGAUUGUAAACUCCUGUUGUUGAGGAAGAUAAUGACGGUACUCAACAAGGAAGUGACGGCUAACUACGUGCCAGCAGCCGCGGUAAAACGUAGGUCACAAGCGUUGUCCGGAAUUACUGGGUGUAAAGGGAGCGCAGGCGGGAGAACAAGUUGGAAGUGAAAUCCAUGGGCUCAACCCAUGAACUGCUUUCAAAACUGUUUUUCUUGAGUAGUGCAGAGGUAGGCGGAAUUCCCGGUGUAGCGGUGGAAUGCGUAGAUAUCGGGAGGAACACCAGUGGCGAAGGCGGCCUACUGGGCACCAACUGACGCUGAGGCUCGAAAGUGUGGGUAGCAAACAAGAUUAGAUACCCUGGUAGUCCACACCGUAAACGAGGAUUAUUAGGGGUUGAAGGAUUGACCCCUUCAGUGCCGCAGUUAACACAAUAAGUAAUCCACUGGGGGAGUACGGCCGCAAGGGUGAAAACUCAAAGGAGUUGACGGGGGCCCGCACAAGCAGUGGAGUAUGUGGUUUAUUUCGACGCAACGCGAAGAACCUUACCAAGUCUUGACAUCCUGCGACGCACAUAGAAAUAUGUGUUUCCUUCGGGACGCAGAGACAGGUGGUGCAUGGUUGUCGUCAGCUCGUGUCGUGAGAUGUUGGGGUAAGUCCCGCAACGAGCGCAACCCUUAUGGUCAGUUACUACGCAAGAGGACUCUGGCCAGACUGCCGUUGACAAAACGGAGGAAGGUGGGGAUGACGUCAAAUCAUCAUGCCCUGUAUGACUUGGGCUACACACGUACUACAAUGGCGUUAAACAAAGAGAAGCAAGACCGCGAGGUGGAGCAAAACUCAGAAACAACGUCCCAGUUCGGACUGCAGGCUGCAACUCGCCUGCACGAAGUCGGAAUUGCUAGUAAUCGUGGAUCAGCAUGCCACGGUGAAUACGUUCCCGGGCCUUGCACA
rnacentral:rRNA from 1 species